rnacentral:lncRNA from 1 species
CGGAAACUAAGGAUCCGACGCGCGUACAACCUCAUCUUAAAAAAUGCUUUGAGGGCAUCGCCACGCUUUAUUUCACAGAAGAAUUGGAUGUUACUGUAAUGCGUUCAUCGGAACGUGAAGAAGUGCAGCUAGUUGAAGCGAUAUCCACUGCAAAGGCCCGUGGUCAAGUAGAGAAAUGGUU